UCCAUACUAUAAUCUUGAAACUGAUGUUGGUGGAUUCUAUUUCUCAUCUUCUUGGAAAACAGUGUAGCAUAGGAAUGUUGAAAUUUGAUGGAAGGUGGAAUAAGAGAAUAAUCAUAGCAAUGAUGAGAAAAUAUUCUGUGGGAAUCAGAGACGUAUAUAUGUAUUCACAUUCAAGUUUAAAUCCAUGUUGUGGGGACACAGAUUGACAGCCAAGCCAAGCUGGAAAGAUGAGAAUGCACAUAAGUGUUUGUUAAUUUGCCAGAGAGAUUUUAGCAUCUCAAUUUUCUCCAGUGUCAGUGUGUUGACAAAACUGCCCAGAAUCUGGCCCAUUUGCUUCUUACAUUCACAAACAUCACCAAAUGUGAGGGGAAAAAGGGUGUCUGUAGAAAGGGAGUUUUCAUGGGCCACCUCUCAAAUAAAGGAAAUUAAUAUAAAUAGUUGUAAUCACUGUGCUUUGCGAUUUGAUUCUUUCCACUUAUUAACAGAAUUUCAGAGCUCACUGACACGUGGACAGACUCGAGGUUAGACUUGAAAAGGGAAAUUGAGGAUUCUUGCUUUAGCUGAGAGAUAUCAGAGCAGAGAAGAGUGUUUGAAGAGCAAUUGGCCUCAAUUCUUAGCUGGGUGGUCUUAUAAUUUUGGGUGAUGGUCUUCUGAUAAUGGAUGAAAAGGGAAUGUCAGGUUCCAUCACUGUGGGAUCCGAGGAUAGUAUCGAUACAUUGUAUCCAAUGUUGUUUGGUGUUUCUUGUGCAUUUUUCGCUCUAAGACUGCUGCCGGAGCAGCCUGAAUUAUGUGAUGAUAUGUGGUCACAAGUCACAGCUAGAAUGCUUCAAGGGAGUAGUCAUCUUCUAGGGUUACUCGUGUGGAGGGUUCAGAGGGACGAGGCGAAAAGUAGAAACACCGAGCUUCUGAAGAAGCUCGAGGAUGCGGAGAAACAGGUCCAAGAAUUGAAGAAGAGAAGAAGCGAGGACGCAAGGGCCAACGAGAAAGUCGUGAGGAUAGUCGCCACUCGGGAGCAGAGCUGGUCUGACGAGAGAAAGAAGCUCAGGCAGCAAAUCGGGGGCCUUAUGAAUGAUCUGAGAGUUGUGAAGAUGAAGAGUGAGAGAUCGAUUGCUGAGCUGAAUCAAAAACUGAAGGAAAAUGAAGCUAUUAUGCAUUUGAAGGACAAAUCAAUUGAGGAAGUGGAGCUCAAGAGAGUGGAAAUCGAUGAGAAAGUGAACAAGGCUGAGAAUCUUCUGAAAGAGAUGAGAGAGAACGCACAGCGUGAAGCUCAACGCCAUGCCAGUGAAACCUUGAAGCAUAAGACGGCCUUCAUUGAGCUCGUAUCUAGCCAGCGACAGCUUGAAGCAGAGAUGAGUCGGGCUGUUAGGCAGGUCGAGGUAGCAAAGCAAGAGCUUGAUUCGGUUUUGGAUCAGAAAGAGCAGGCUGUCUUGAUGACACAAAAGUUAUCCAUGGAACUUGUUAAAACGCGUAAAGAUUUGGACCAGAAAGACCAGAUUUUGUCGGCUAUGCUGAGAAAAUCCAAAGUAGAUACAGCCGAGCUUUUGAAGGAAGUAAAAUCAUCUAAGGCCAAGAGACAGCAAACCGAGGUAGAAACAGCAGGGUGGAAGGCAGUUUCUGAGACGAAACAUGAUAGACAUUCACUAAGGAAUAUAUUGUCCAAGCAUGUGAGUGUAAAGUCGGAUAUAUUCUCAGGUGGAAAAGGUGGGCAUUUAAAAGCUAUGGCGUCGCUGGAUGCUGGAAACCCCAGAGCAGCCGAAACUGAUUAUCGCGAGUUUGAGCAACCGCAAGCUUUUAAACUUAUAAAUGAUCCAUAUUUGAUUGCACGAACUGGUGAACCACAUUUGAUAGCUGAUGUCGAGGGCUUGGAGAACUGGACCAACUCGGAGGCAGCGACAUACGAGUUUGCACUUCAGCAAAGGCAUAACCUUGAAAUAGAUGCUUUUGUGGAUCAACUGAGGCUCAAGGAUGAAAGGUUAGAAGCUUUUCGUUGGCGUUUGUUAAGCAUGGAAAUAGAGUCUAAGAGGUUGCAUUCACACAUCGAAACGAUCGAUCAUGAGAUUACACAGCUGAGGAAGGAGAAUAUGAGGCUGGAAGCUCUACUGUUGGACCGCGAGACAGAGUUACAUUCAUUGAAAGAGCAGCUACUGAUGCAGUUCAAUCCUCCAAAUCUCCAGAAGUUGAAUUUUGAAUCCUCUCUACACGAGGCGACCAUGAACCAUAAUACGGUAUGGUCAAGAGUCAAGGUCGUCAAAAGGAAACCAGGACAGAGAAGGAAAGAAAUGAAUGUUACAGAAGAAGAAACUCCUCAAGCAGCCGAGGUGUGUGAACUUCCAUCUGAUGAGCAGCUCAAGGAUAUAGUUUUGACGCUUAAAUAUCCUCAUAAGGAGAUACAAGAUUGGAAAGUUGCAUCCCUGGAACAAGAUCAUUGUAGGCAGGGAAGUUUUGGUUCAGAUGAUGCUGCAAAUGUCGAAACAACGACAUCAGCGGGCCAAGGAUCAAGUAAAAAAAGUAACUCUACAUUGAAAUUGGAUAUUCAUGCUCUUGGAGUCUCAUACAAGAUCAAGAGACUUAAGCAGCAAUUUCUAAUGCUUGAGAGGUUGAUGGGGAAGCAAGAAAACAGCGAAGUGGAUAUUGCAACGAAGGGAUUGUAUGCCCUUACAACCCUCCUGAAUAAGCAAGUUGAUCGAUACCAGUCUCUUCAGGGGAAAAUUGACGAUCUCUGUCAAAGAAUGGAUGAGAAAAACCUGAACCUGAGCUGCAGAGGCAAUGCAAUUGCUAGAACAGAUGACGAAACCAAAAGGCUGGAGCACUUUCUUGAAGAAACCUUUCAAUUACAGAGAUAUAUAGUCGCGACAGGACAAAAAUUAAUGGAAGUUCAAGCUAAGAUUGCCUCUGGAUUUAUUGAUUUUGCAGAAAAGAUUGAUCAGCCUGAGAGCUUUGACAUGAAACGAUUUGCUGAUAGUAUCAGAACACUCUUCAGAGAAGUUCAGAGGGGCCUUGAAGUCCGAAUAUCUCGGAUUAUUGGGGAUCUUGAGGGAACCCUGGCAUGUGAUGAUUGACAUUUGACUAUUCUAUCCACUGUGUUACUGAUACAACUACUGGUUUGAUCUCGGAGAAGCCCAACAUCACAAAGGAAGAUGCGGCCCAAUCCAGAGAAGGCCCCAUUACUGAUCAAAGGCCCAUUCGCAACAAGAAGAUACCAGAGCGCUUUCGAGACUUUGUCUUGGAGCAGACGAAGGAGCACCUAGCUUAGGGGACCACUUUUCUGUUAGGAUUAUCUUUCUGUUAUGCUUUCUGCAUGGUUUGUGUAGUGCCACUUUUGACAAGCACUCUUUAAAUAGCUGAGGAGAUGUACGUUGGUAAAGAAGGAAUGAAGUAGUCGUUUCUGAAUUUCCUUCCCUUCCUCUUAUUUGGAGUUUUGGCUCACUCGAAGUAGUCUAAUAUCUUAUCAGUUACUAGGGGAUGGUAAACUAUCCUAGCUAGGUUGUUUCUUGAUAAUGUUAAGUUUUUCAUUUUAAUAUAUGUUCCAUUUUCUCGUUUCUGUUGGUCCCUUCUCUUCCAUGUCUUUCAGGACUAUAAACAGGCAAAUCAGUGGAACAUAAUCAAGCAAAUAGAGAAGAAACUGUGUACCUGCUAGGGUCGCUGCACCAGUAGGAUGAUACGCAUGAUCAAAUUGUGGCUGUAAACACCAUCAAAAUCCAAGUUAGAUCUAACGACCUAUGGAUCGAUCAUGAUUGAAGUUGAGUGUUGCAUGCUGUAAAUCACUUGAACUGGGCUCCCUCCCUAUCUCUAGGUAAAAUCAAAUGGCCUGGUAAGUAAAGUCUUGCUUUGGGGUUACUGCAAAUGAUAUUUACCAUAGAUUAAUGAUCUAUGGAAAAAAGCAGGUUGUUUGUAUGAUGUGACAUGCUUUGGUUAUGAAUGAAGAUGGUAUAUGGAUUCAAAUGUGAA